AACGAACGCUGGCGGCAUGCCUAACACAUGCAAGUCGAACGAGACCUUCGGGUCUAGUGGCGCACGGGUGCGUAACGCGUGGGAAUCUGCCCUUGGGUUCGGAAUAACCAGGAGAAAUCCUGGCUAAUACCGGAUGAUGUCUUCGGACCAAAGAUUUAUCGCCCAGGGAUGAGCCCGCGUCGGAUUAGCUAGUUGGUGAGGUAAAGGCUCACCAAGGCGACGAUCCGUAGCUGGUCUGAGAGGAUGAUCAGCCACACUGGGACUGAGACACGGCCCAGACUCCUACGGGAGGCAGCAGUGGGGAAUAUUGGACAAUGGGCGAAAGCCUGAUCCAGCAAUGCCGCGUGAGUGAUGAAGGCCUUAGGGUUGUAAAGCUCUUUUACCCGGGAUGAUAAUGACAGUACCGGGAGAAUAAGCCCCGGCUAACUCCGUGCCAGCCGCCGCCGUAAAAC
rnacentral:rRNA from 1 species